AUUGAACGCUGGCGGCAUGCUUUACACAUGCAAGUCGAACGGUAACAGGUUAAGCUGACGAGUGGCGAACGGGGGAGUAAUGCAUCGGAACGUGCCCGGUCGUGGGGGAUAACGCAGCGAAAGCUGCGCUAAUACCGCAUACGAUCUGAGGAUGAAAGCGGGGGACCGUAAGGCCUCGCGCGAUCGGAGCGGCCGAUGUCAGAUUAGGUAGUUGGUGGGGGAAAGGCCCAUCAAGCCGACGAUCGGUAGCUGGUCUGAGAGGACGACCAGCCACACUGGGACGGAGACACGGCCCAGACUCCUACGGGAGGCAGCAGUGGGGAAUUUUGGACAAUGGGCGAAAGCCUGAUCCAGCAAUGCCGCGUGCAGGAAGAAGGCCUUCGGGUUGUAAACUGCUUUUGUACGGAGCGAAAAGGUCCUUUCUAAUACAAGGGGCUCAUGACGGUACCGUAAGAAUAAGCACCGGCUAACUACGUGCCAGCAGCCGCGGUAA
rnacentral:rRNA from 1 species